GACAUAGUGGCUCACUGUGUUAAGGCAUGGUGCUUAAAAACUCCAAGGUUGUAGGUUCAAACCCCACCCAUGACA